rnacentral:tRNA from 1 species
GAGCCAUUAGCUCAGUAGGCAGAGCACUUGACUUUUAAUCAAGGUGUCCGGGGUUCGAAUCCCCGAUGGCUCACCA